UACGAAGGGGGCUAGCGUUGCUCGGAAUCACUGGGCGUAAAGGGUGCGUAGGCGGGUCUUUAAGUCAGAGGUGAAAUCCUGGAGCUCAACUCCAGAACUGCCUUUGAUACUGAGGAUCUUGAGUACGGGAGAGGUGAGUGGAACUGCGAGUGUAGAGGUGAAAUUCGUAGAUAUUCGCAAGAACACCAGUGGCGAAGGCGGCUCACUGGCCCGUUACUGACGCUGAGGCACGAAGCGUGGGAGCAAACAGG
rnacentral:rRNA from 1 species